GAGGAGCCUGCGGCGGAUUAGCUAGUUGGUAGGGUAACGGCUUACCAAGGCGACGAUCCGUAACCGGCCUGAGAGGGCGGUCGGUCACACUGACACUGACAUACGGGUCAGACUCCUACGGGAGGCAGCAGUCGGGAAUUUUGGGCAAUGGGCGAAAGCCUGACCCAGCAACGCCGCGUGAAGGAUGAAAUCCCUCGGGAUGUAAACUUCGCAAGAAUGGGAAGAAUGAGCGAGCGCUAAUACCGUUCGUGAUGACGGUACCAUUUGUAAGCUCCGGCUGACUCCGUGCCAGCAGCCGCGGUAAUACGGGGGGAGCAAGCGUUGUUCGGAUUUACUGGGCGUAAAGGGCGCGUAGGCGGCCAGCGCAAGUCAGUUGUGAAAUCUCCGGGCUUAACUCGGAAAGGUCAACUGAUACUGCGCGGCUAGAGUGCGGAAGGGGCAACUGGAAUUCUCGGUGUAGCGGUGAAAUGCGUAGAUAUCGAGAGG
rnacentral:rRNA from 1 species